UGGGGAAUAUUGGGCAAUGGGCGCAAGCCUGACCCAGCAACGCCGCGUGAAGGAUGAAGGUUUUCGGAUUGUAAACUUCUGUCGCGAGGGACGAAGAAUGACGGUACCUCGUAAGAAAGCCCCGGCAAACUACGUGCCAGCAGCCGCGGUAAUACGUAGGGGGCAAGCGUUGUCCGGAAUGACUGGGCGUAAAGGGAGUGUAGGCGGCUUAAUAAGUUAGAUGUGAAAUCCCGCGGCUCAACCGCGGAACUGCAUCUAAAACUGUUGAGCUGGAGUGCAGGAGAGGUGAGUGGAAUUCCUAGUGUAGCGGUGGAAUGCGUAGAUAUUAGGAGGAACACCAGAGGCGAAGGCGACUCACUGGACUGUAACUGACGCUGAGGCUCGAAAGCGUGGGGAGCAAACAGG
rnacentral:rRNA from 1 species